rnacentral:lncRNA from 1 species
ACAGCCGCCAUGGGAGACGCCAUAGUGCUCUGCGCGUAAAGACUCUUGAGCAAUAUCUCUUUCUUGCGCUACCUCUUUCUUCUCUUCCAUCAUUUUGGACAAUCUUUUCAUAUACAUUGUUCUGAAGCUUUUCUAUUUGCAUCAAUAAACCUAUUAAAUCUCUGGAUUCCAAGUCUUGACAGACACAUCCACCGCAAAGAGCCAGGCUUUUAUACUUUUGGGCAUAAGAUGCCAACAGAUUCCAUAACUUGGAAGUUUAAUAAUACAUAAUUAUAGAUUUCAUAUUUAUAGAUUUGUAAAAUACUAUACUUCUCAGUGUGUUUACUAAAUAUUUGCAAAAAUUGGUGUUUUGUUUAAUGAAUUUUUAGGAUGUGCUCUGUACACAACAUGCACAUGAUAUGCUCAAAGAUUUGAGCUCAAAACCAAAAGCCCAGAGCUCAAAGCUCUCUCUUCCAAAUAAAAAAAAUGAC